CCAGGCAAUCCAUGACAUGGGUUUGAACUUAAUCUCAGGACAUUUUAUUCAUUGCCAUAAAACUAAGACCAGUAAAGGGACAUCAAAUAUUUCUUUGGACCUUGGGCAGUCAAGAAAUCUUGAAGACUCCAUGGGUAAAUAAUGGACCAUGCACCAUCCCAGAACCCCAGGACUGAACCUGCUUGAUGCCCCUGGACCUCCUUGGCUAAGGAAUGGCUCUGGAUAUGUUCACCACACACUACCCUGGAAGACUGGAGAGUUCAAGGACGGCCAACUUUCACUUAAACAAACUUUUCCAUAGUCUGUGUGGGUCCCAUCAGCUGAGAGUAGCCUCCAUAUUGCAAUGAUGUGCAAACUUUUGCUGUUCAGCCAUGAUGGACUUUAGGAUCUGCCCUGAGGACCCUACACAAGCCACAGGUAGGAGAUGUGUAAAUGGGGCAUGUUACUGGGUCAGGUUAUCAGUACAGUGAGGCUGUUCCA
rnacentral:lncRNA from 1 species